AGCCUACGGGGGGCAGCAGUGGGGAAUAUUGGGCAAUGGGCGCAAGCCUGACCCAGCAAUGCCGCGUGAAGGAAGAAGGCCCUCGGGUUGUAAACUUCUUUUAUCAGGGACGAAGGAUGUGACGGUACCUGAUGAAUAAGCUCCGGCUAACUACGUGCCAGCAGCCGCGGUAAUACGUAGGGGGCGAGCGUUGUCCGGAAUCACUGGGCGUAAAGGGCGCGUAGGCGGUAAUAUA
rnacentral:rRNA from 1 species